rnacentral:rRNA from 1 species
GGGUGCUUGGUGUGGCAUAUGGUGGAUGCCUGGGCACGUAUGACCGAUGAAAGACGUGUGGGGCCGCGAUAGGCCUCGGGGAGCUGCCGACAGGGCGUUGAUCCGAGGGUGUCUGAAUGGGGUAACCUGCCACCUGUUAUGGGGUGGUACCGCGAGUAGCGGGGGGUACGCAGGGAAGUGAAACAUCUUAGUACCUGCAGGAAAAGAUAUUCCGUCAGUAGUGGCGAGCGAAAGCGGAGGAGACUAAACCAUGCGCGUGGUAUAAGCGCCUGCUGGUGCGUGUGUGGUGUUGUGGGGUUUCUUGAGGAAGUCAGGCGGCUUCCUGCCUAGUGAUAAAGUCUGGUGUGAGGUGAACAUGGUUGAAGACAUGACCGUAGAGGGUGAUGGUCCCGUAGCUGAAGAUGCCAGGCCUGGGAAGAAUGUCCCCGAGUAGCACGAGCCUCGUGGAAUCUCGUGUGAAUCUGCCCUGACCGUGGGGUAAGUCUAAAUAUAUGUACGUGACCGAUAGUGCACGAGUACCGUGAGGGAAAGGUGAAAAGUAGCCCGGGAGGGUAGUGAAAUAGUUCCUGAAACCAUGUGCUUUCAAUCCGUCAGAGCCUCUUGUUGGGGGUGAUGGCGUGCCUAUCGAAAAAUGAGUCUGCGAGUCAGUGGCAUGUAGCGAGGUUAACCCGUGUGGGGGAUCCGUAGCGAAAGCGAGUGUCAAUAGCGCGUUUUAGUUGCAUGUUCUGGACCCGAAGCGGGAUGAUCUAGCCGUGAGCAGGUUGAAGCGUGGGUGAGACCGCGUGGAGGACCGAACCCACCUAGGUUGAAAACUGGGGGGAUGACUUGUGGUUAGGGGUGAAAGGCCAAUCAAAUUCCGUGAUAGCUGGUUCUCUCCGAAAUGCAUUUAGGUGCAGCGUUCGUGGUCGCCUUCCGGGGGUAGAGCUACUGGAUGCCAAAGGGCCCGUAUGGGGUACUGAUGGCAACCAAACUCCGAAUACCGGUAUGGUUGUGCGCGGGCAGUGAGUCAGCGGGGGAUAAGCUCCGUUGUCGAAAGGGAAACAGCCCAGAUCGUCGUUUAAGGUCCCUAAGCGUGUGCUAAGUGGGAAAGGAUGUGGAGUCGCAUGGACAGCCAGGAGGUUGGCUUAGAAGCAGCUAUCCUUGAAAGAGUGCGUAACAGCUCACUGGUCUAGUGUCUCCGCGCCGACAAUGUAGCGGGGCUCAAGCACACCACCGAAAACGCGGCAGCCGCCUCUUAGGGGUGGUUGGGUAGGAGAGCGUUCCCUACGGGGUGAAGCCACGGGGUAACCGUGUGGUGGACUGUAGGGAAGUGAGAAUGCAGACAUGAGUAACGAAACGCGGGUGACAAUCCCGCGCGCUGGAUGACUAAGGGUUCCGGGGCCACGGUUAACGUCCCCGGGUGAGUCGGGUCCUAAGGCGAGGCCGACAGGCGUAGUCGAAUGGAUGAACGGGUUGAUAUUCCCGUACCGGUAUCACACCGCCCAUACUCGAGGCAUUACACGCUAGGCACUGUUUCCUUCCUGUAGGCCCUUUCGGGGGUGUACAGGGGGUGGUGGUGUGCUGGUGGUGGGUGUAGUAGGGGAGCAGGGGAGUGACGCAUGGGGUAAGCUGGCCUGGCCUGGUGGUUAUGGCUGGUUAAGCGUGUAGCAGGUGUCAGAGGCUAAUCCCUGACAGGAGACUGUGAGACGUGAUGAGCAUCACCUUUAGGGUGGUGUGCUGGUGGUGCCUUGUGCCGAGAAAAGCUUCACUGUUAGGUGUGGUUCCGCUCGUACCCUAAACCGACACAGGUGGUCAGGUAGAGAAUACUAAAGCGUUCGAGUGAAUCCUGGUCAAGGAACUCGGCAAAUUGCUCCCGUGCCUUCGGCAUAAGGGAGGCCCUGUGAGAUGAUCCCGCCUAGCGUGGGUGAGUGUUGUGGGGCGGCACAAAACAGGGGGUAGCGACUGUUUACCAAAAACACAGGUGCAUGCCAAGACGUAAGUCGCUGUAUAUGCACUGACGCCUGCCCGGUGCUGGAAGGUUAAGAGGAUCCGUUAACCCGUAAGGGUGACGCGGUGAAUUUAAGCCCCAGUAAACGGCGGUGGUAACUAUAACCAUCCUAAGGUAGCGAAAUUCCUUGUCGGGUAAG